GCAGCUGCUUUAGCGUCUCUUUGUUUGCCCGGAGGAACAUGGCGGAUCGCCUGACACAGCUACAGGACGCCGUGAACUCGCUUGCAGAUCAGUUUUGUAAUGCCAUUGGAGUGUUGCAGCAGUGUGGUCCUCCUGCCUCUUUCAGUAAUAUUCAGACAACCAUUAACAAAGAUCAGCCAGCUAAUCCUACGGAAGAAUAUGCCCAGCUAUUUGCAGCGCUGAUUGCACGAACAGCAAAAGACAUUGAUGUUUUGAUAGAUUCCUUACCCAGUGAAGAAUCUACAGCUGCUUUACAGGCUGCCAGCUUGUAUAAGCUAGAAGAAGAAAAUCAUGAAGCUGCUACAUGUCUGGAGGAUGUUGUUUAUCGAGGGGAUAUGCUUCUGGAAAAGAUACAGAGUGCCCUUGCUGAUAUUGCGCAGUCACAGCUGAAGACAAGAAGUGGUACCCACAGCCAGUCUCUUCCAGACUCAUAGCACCAGUGUACAUAUCAUGUGGCCGAGAAGAGAACUGUUUCAGUGCCGUUAAGAAUUCUACAUCAGAUUUAGAUCCUGUACAAGUGAAAACAUCCCCCAAGCUAGAGGAGAAGAUGGUAAAUGCAGAAAUGGUGGAUAUUUGAAUUUAGGUUGAUAUCCUUCUGCCUCUUUAAAAGUGACAUUGUAGAGUUCUGGUGCAGUGGAUCAAGGAUCUAGUGUUGUCACUGCAGUGGCUUGUGUCACUGCUGUGGCAAGGGUUCAGUCCCUGGCCCUGGAAUUUCUGCAUGCCACGGGCACAGCCAAAAAGAAAAAAAUAAAAUAAAGGUGACAUUGUAUAAAUUUGGAGCUGGAGCAAGGAA